rnacentral:misc_RNA from 1 species
GUCAACUACCCCAUUUGAAAACCCUUUCAACAAAGGAGCGAUCAUUUUGAAAUUUUCUCCCUGAUAUCUACAAACACUAUCAUCACCGUACCACAAACGUUCUCUGAUGGGUAAGCCCAUAACUCGAUCCCACUCUCGUUCUAUAGUCGAACCCUCUUCCACUCUACAAUCCGCCGCCGCCGCCAAUACUUCUUUAAACCCCUCUUCUUCUUCCUCCUCCAAAAUCCCAUAUCGGCCCCGGAAAAUCCGAAAACUUUCAACCACCAAUAAAAUAAUUGCAGCCGCUGCCGCCGCCGCCGCCACAGCCACUACCAACUCCUUUCCCCUGUCCACUGUUAAACCAUUAUCGGUCAAAGGCGAGAUUGACCUGGCUCUUGAACAUUUACGCAAGUCAGAUCCCCUUCUCUCAACUCUAAUUGACACCAAUAAGCCACCUACAUUCGAUUCUCAAAGCCCACCAUUUUUAUCUCUAGCAAGAAGCAUUCUUUAUCAACAACUCGCCCCUAAUGCCGCCAAAUCAAUCUACACUAGAUUCCUCACCCUCUGUGGUGGCGAAGCGGGGGUCCUGCCGGAGAAUGUUCUAUCGCUAUCUGCCCUUCAGCUCCGAGAAAUUGGAAUUUCGGGUCGAAAAGCGAGCUACCUGCAUGACCUAGCAGACAAGUUCAGAAACGGGUCUUUAUCAGAUUCGUCGAUUCUUGAAAUGAAUGAUGAUACGCUUUUAACUAGCCUGACUGCGGUUAAGGGAAUUGGGGUUUGGUCUGUGCACAUGUUUAUGAUAUUUUCGCUGCAUAGGCCUGAUGUUUUGCCGGUGGGUGAUCUUGGUGUGAGGAAAGGAGUACAGAAUUUGUAUGGGCUUAAGGAGUUGCCGCAGCCAUUGCAAAUGGAGCAAGUUUGUGAGAAGUGGAGGCCUUAUAGGUCUGUUGGGUCGUGGUAUAUGUGGAGGUUAAUGGAAACCAAGGCAUUGGCUAAAGUGACUAAAAAGUCGUAGUGCCUUCCAAACGCUGAAGCUGUAAAAAUCAGGUACUCUUGUGAGCUUUAAAGGCCUGAUUCUUGUACUGAUUAGUGAUGAUCAUCUUUAUAAUUUCUAAAAUUUGACAUUUCCAGCUUCACUCUUUCUCCUUGUACGCAUGUGGAUUCACUUCACUGUUCUAUGUCUGUUUAAAUGGAAUAGUAAAUCCUUCUAUUUACAUUUGUUACCUGACAGUUGGCACUCUUGAAUUAUGAAAUUUUCCUUCCAGAGCUAUUUGUUGUGUAAAGUUUAUAUUUAUGCUAAACAAAUGAAUUCUGUUUCUGGGUUAUCACAUUAUGUUGAAAACUCUACCAAAUGAAGCAAUGCCUGAAGCAUAUUAUUGACCUUGUGAGUUGUGAAGCAUUCUUGCGUAAUGAAGUGUCUGUAUGUGGAGUUUUUUCUAUUGGCAAAUAAAAUCAAAUUUAAGUACAGUGGUGUCACGAUUUGGUUCAAUCUACAGGUGCAAACCAGUUAUUGGGAGGUCUUUUUCCCAACUUUAUGAUAAGAUUUAGUCAGGUUUGAUUGCAUAUUUUCUAUCUGAAUGUCAGUUGUAUAAGACUAUUGUAUUGGAAUUAUAUUACAGCCAUUUAAGUUACAUAAGAAGGCGUGUACAAGGUAUUGAUGGAAUGGAACUCAUGAAACAUACUAAGAGUUCGGGAGUUGAAACAUUCUCAAGAAAUGCU